rnacentral:lncRNA from 12 species
CUGGAAGGAGACAAAAAUGUACAUAAAGACUAUAGAUGUAAUGAAUAUUAAGUUAAUGGUAUCAAUAUGAAAAUGAGUUCAUGUGAUAGAUUUUAUAUCUGUAAAACUUACACAGUUUAAAACUGUUAUGCAAAUUCACUGUAUUGCACAUUAUCAUUUUAUCAAUGAGAUAAAUCUGUACAAGGAACUAAAUCUACUCAUGAAAUGUAUACUUGUUGUUUCUAUUUCUCAGGUAUCCUACAUUAGUCAGGACUGUGAAGAAAUUCCAGAAUUCCUGGGAAGAAAAUAUGGACAUAUGGCAAAAAGGCUAGAUCUUAGCUUCAACUUGUUAAGUUCUUCUCAAAUCACUCUUGUGCUGCCUGGCUGCUACCUUGGAUGACUCCGUGAUGGACAGUUGUGUUGGCUUCCACUUCAUUUCCACUACUUCUUCUGUUCUGUGUGACUGCAAAAAUGUUUCCUCUGCUUCCAGGUAUCUUCCAGGUAUUUCACAUGAUAAUGUAGUGCCUACCAACCAUAUGUUUCUACAGCAGAUAACUGUACUUCUGCCUUUUCUUUAAUUCAAUGGACAGUUAUUGCUUUCAGUACAUCAGGGUGGAACUUCUUCACAAAGUGUGUCUGUUGUAGAUGGUGCAUCUGCUGUCUGCUUGCUGUGUCAGAAGAGUCAUGCUUGGAAACUACAGAGGGAAAAUUCACAUGUUGCUGUUCUGUCCUUGUUAAAGCUAAUAGGUCUAAUAUAAUAAAAGUGCAUGUUAUGGUCAUGAACUUUAAACUAGGAGGCUCAGGAAUUACAUUGCAUAAGCACACAAAUGAAGUAUGUUUUAUAUAUCUGUAGAGGAGGAAGGUAAAUAUGAUAUGGUAUUUACUAUAAUUCAUAAGCCCUUCUGUUCAGAAACAGAAGUCUUAAAGUGUAUUAAACUUGGUCCUUAUGUUAAGGGCUUUUUUCUGUUUUCUUCUUGUUGCUCAUGAAUCUUUCAUUAACCAUCAUAGUCUUAUAAAGCAAUUUCUGUGUAAUAAUCGGAGAUCAUUGUGGAGAAUUGUAAUCAGAAUAAAAACAAAUUUUUAUUUAGUGGACAAAUAAUAAUUACUUGACUAAGAAGAAGCAAAAAGCAGUACACAAUCUCAUAAAAGCUGAAAAGAAGGGACAGAAGUAGAGGAGGUUGAAUGCUUGUCUUUGUUAUUGACAUGCGACUUACUUUUAGUUCAUGAUUUCCAUCACACAGUGCUGUCCUUCUGUUGAAUGGUCUCAGUGUCCUGGCAUAGAUGACAUGAAUUCUUGUUUUAAGUGUGAACAAGUAUUAAUUUAGUUCACUGAAGAGGAAAUAGGGUUACAGCAAAGGAAGUUCAUGUUUGGAAAGAGUAGAAAGUUAGUAUUGAUACCCUUUGUGAUUCUUUCUCAUUGCAUGACUCCUACAGGAGGGUUAUGGUGGGUCACGUGAAGAUGAAUGUCUUAGGAGCACAAAGACCUUUUUCUGUCAAAGCUGGAGGAUGGUUUUGGCUCUUCUUUUUCUUUAAUAAUUAUUAUUUUAAUUUUUUUUUCUUCCUGUCCUCCUUCAGAAAAGUCCAAGAAAACUGCUGGCACUGACUGAAGAUGAAAAUAUGAUUUGUGCUGACAUCAUGUAUAGUCCAAGCAAAUCUGUUUUGUGAAAGAUGGUUUUUUUAUGGUGUUGAAAUAAAGAAUCAGUGAGUCAUUCUUG